rnacentral:rRNA from 1 species
GGAUUCAACGCCGGAAAUCUCACCGGGAGCGACGGUUAUAUGAAGGCCAGGCUAAUGACUUUGCCUAAUUUUCCGAGAGGUGGUGCAUGGCCGUCGUCAGUUCGUACCGUAAGGCGUUCUGUUAAGUCAGAUAACGAACGAGACCCCUACCUUUAGUUACUAAUGGCUUUUCCGAAAGUCAAGGACGCUAGAGGGACCGCUGGCGCUAAGUCAGAGGAAGGAAGGGGCCGCGGUAGGUCAGUACGCCCCGAAUCUCCCGGGCUACACGCGCGCUACAAAGGUUGGGACAAUGGGCUACAACCUCGAAAGAGGAAGUUAAUCCCGAAACCCAACCAUAGUUCGGAUUGAGGGCUGCAACUCGCCCUCAUGAAGCUGGAAUCCGUAGUAAUCGCCUGUCAACAUCAGGCGGUGAAUAUGCCCCUGCUCCUUGCACACACCGCCCGUCAAACCAUCCGAGUUGGGUUUGAGUGAGGGUAAAGUUUUUGCUUUGCUCGAACUCGAAUUCAGCAAGGAGGGUUAAGUCGUAACAAGGUAUCCGUAGGGGAACCUGCGGAUGGAUCACCUCCUAU